rnacentral:rRNA from 1 species
AGAGCUUGCUUUAAAGAAGUUAGCGGCGGACGGGUGAGUAACACGUGGGCAACCUGCCUGUAAGACUGGGAUAACUUCGGGAAACCGGAGCUAAUACCGGAUAAUAUAUAGUACCUCCUGGUACUAUAUUGAAAGUUGGUUUCGGCUAACACUUACAGAUGGGCCCGCGGCGCAUUAGCUAGUUGGUGAGGUAACGGCUCACCAAGGCAAAGAUGCGUAGCCGACCUGAGAGGGUGAUCGGCCACACUGGGACUGAGACACGGCCCAGACUCCUACGGGAGGCAGCAGUAGGGAAUCUUCCACAAUGGACGAAAGUCUGAUGGAGCAACGCCGCGUGAGCGAUGAAGGCCUUCGGGUCGUAAAGCUCUGUUGUUAGGGAAGAACAAGUGCGAGAGUAACUGCUCGCACCUUGACGGUACCUAACCAGAAAGCCACGGCUAACUACGUGCCAGCAGCCGCGGUAAUACGUANGUGGCAAGCGUUGUCCGGAAUUAUUGGGCGUAAAGCGCGCGCANGCGGUUUCUUAAGUCUGAUGUGAAAGCCCACGGCUCAACCGUGGAGGGUCAUUGGAAACUGGGAGAC